UGUGUUGUAAAGGGAAUAUUAAGCUUCUCAAUGAUCAAAAUUGGUAUUUGUCAAUCUGCUAUAUAACCAGCCUAAUUUUUCUGAUAAAAUGGUUGGUUCAAAAUUUUUGAAAUUUAUAUAUUUUGGUUAAAGGGUCAAAGUAAAUACUUUGUCAAAAUUUUAUGAAAAUUAAACGAGCCAAAUUAAUUUUAGUGAAAGUGUUGGGUACCAC
rnacentral:lncRNA from 1 species